rnacentral:rRNA from 1 species
AAAUGAAUUGACGGGGGCCCGCACAAGCAGUGGAGCAUGUGGUUUAAUUCGAAGCAACGCGCAGAACCUUACCACCUCUUGACAUCCCCAACGCGGACACCCGAGAGGGAGUCCUUCAGUUCGGCUGGUUGGGAGACAGGUGCUGCAUGGCUGUCGUCAGCUCGUGUCGUGAGAUGUUGGGUUAAGUCCCGCAACGAGCGCAACCCACGUCCUUAGUUGCCAGCAUUGAGUUGGGCACUCUAGGGAAACCGCCGGUGAUAAGCCGGAGGAAGGUGUGGAUGACGUCAAGUCCUCAUGGCCCUUACGAGGUGGGCUACACACGUGCUACAAUGGCGGUGACAAUGGGUUAAUCCCCAAAAGCCGUCUCAGUUCGGAUUGGGGUCUGCAACUCGACCCCAUGAAGUCGGAAUUGCUAGUAAUCGCGUAACAGCAUGACGCGGUGAAUACGUUCCCGGGCCUUGUACACACCGCCCGU